AAUUCGAAGCAACGCGAGAACUUACCAGGGCUUGACAUCCCUCUGACAGUCCCUUAACCGGGACCUUACUUCGGACAGAGGAGACAGGUGGUGCAUGGUUGUCGUCAGCUCGUGUCGUGAGAUGUUGGGUUAAGUCCCGCAACGAGCGCAACCCUUGUCUUUAGUUGCCAUCAUUCAGUUGGGCACUCUAGAGAGACUGCCGAGGACAACUCGGGAGGAAGGUGGGGAUGACGUCAAAUCAUCAUGCCCUUUAUGACCUGGGCUACACACGUGCUACAAUGGCCUAUACAAAGGGUAGCGAAGCCGCGAGGUGGAGCCAAUCCCAAAAAGUAGGUCUCAGUUCGGAUUGUAGGCUGCAACUCGCCUACAUGAAGUCGGAAUCGCUAGUAAUCGCGGAUCAGCAUGCCGCGGUGAAUACGUUCCCGGGCCUU
rnacentral:rRNA from 1 species